ACGGGGAGCACCACAACAGGUGGAGCCUGCGGUUUAAUCGGACUCAACGCCGGGAAACUCACCAGAUAAGACAGCUGAAUGAUAGUCGGGCUGAAGACUCUACUUGACUAGCUGAGAGGAGGUGCAUGGCCGUCGUCAGUUCGUACUGUGAAGCAUCCUGUUAAGUCAGGCAACGAGCGGGACCCACGCCAACAGUUGCCAGCUCGUCCUCCGGGAUGGUGGGGACACUGUUGGGACCGCCUCUGCUAAAGAGGAGGAAGGAAUGGGCAACGGUAGGUCAGCAUGCCCCGAAUUAUCUGGGCUACACGCGGGCUACAAUGGGUGGGACAAUGGGUAUCGACACCGAAAGGUGAAGGCAAUCUCCUAAACCCAUCCGUAGUUCGGAUUGUGGGCUGCAACUCGCCCACAUGAAGCUGGAAUCUGUAGUAAUCGUGUCUCAAAAUGGCACGGUGAAUAUGUCCCUGCUCCUU
rnacentral:rRNA from 1 species